AUAUGGAGCUGUCCUUCCUCUUCCAUCUCCUUAACUGUCGCUCUGCCAGUCUGUAAAAGGCGAGCGGUAGUAGGUUCGUAUAAGUACAGGAUUUAUCAUUUGAUUUAAUUCAUGCUAAUUUCAUUUAAUUGAGUUGCCAUUGUGUUUUUCAUAAAGAGAUGAGGCGUUUUCGAUUGCUGUGUAAGGAAUAUCGAGGAUUCUCUUGGCGGUGAACAGCAAUCUUCAUGUCUUUCCAGAGAUUUUCAAUGGGAUUCAAGUCUGAGCUUUAGCUGGGCCACUCAAGGACUUUCACAUUCUUGUUCUGAAGCCAUUCCAACGUUGCGUUGGCUGUAUGCUCAUUGUCAUUGUCCUGUUGGAAUGCAAAUUUUAGCCCCAGUCUGCCGUUAGCACUCUGAAGCAGGUUCUCAUCAAGGAUUUGCUUGUAUUUGGCUCCAUUCAUUGUUCCCUCUAUCCUUACCAGUCUCCCAAUCUCUACUGCUGAAAAGCAUCCUCAUAGCACGAUGCUGCCACCACCAUGCUUCACGGUAGGGAUGGUGUUCGGCGGGUGAUGACCUGUGCCUGGUUUACUCCAGACAGCACUUUGCAUUCAGGCCAAAGAGUUCCAUAUUUGUC
rnacentral:lncRNA from 1 species